AUACUUUAUUCUGUAAUCAACAGCACACAAACUGAAGACGUUUCAGGCAAACAACUGCUGACAUAAUUUGUAAUUCACAGAUCCCCACUCAAAAAGAUUCGAAGAGAUGUACUUCAAUGAGGAGGAAAGCUGAACCAAAGGAAGAAUACAAAUACAAGAGCCUUUUAGGUGAUUUCAGACCUCACUAGACGCUUCACCAAGAAGAGGAAAAGUCAGCCAUGUGGGAAAGCUGAAAGCAGCCAGCGUUGCAGCUUGUGUGCAGCUUUGGGGACAGGACGGUAGUGACCUUGUUCAUCCCUUCCAGGUCCCACACCAGGAUCCGGCCUCAUUCACAGCACCCAACACUGCAGGCAGCACCCCGCACAUUCGAUCCUACCUCGUGCCCCCCGCAGGGCACCAUAGAAUCUUUUCUUGUCUAGCUCACAGGCCUUAAAGAUCCCAGGACCCCAGAACCAUCCAGCUCCAAGGGAUGGAGCUCAAAUCUCACUUUCUCCUCUGAAGUGAGCUUUCCUCAUAAAACCAAAUGAAGCCUCAUAAAAUAAUUUCUUUCCAUGACUCAAAAGAAGCAUCGCCGUAACACACCCAUAAAUCUGGCAAGCUCCCCCUUUUAAUCACGUCCCAUGAUAUAAGAGGCAAUUAUUUCUUUAAACCACCUCGUGUCUCUCCAAUGUGUUUACAAUGUGAGUCACUUCAUCCACUGUUAUACGCAGUAAUAAAAUAUUUGAGCAGAAAGAAAAAAAAGGAGGUUCCUCCUAUCUCCUGGAUGUUUCCCUCUGAAAAACUUGUUUCCACGGAGGCACCUCCUCUGUAUCAUAACCAAGGGGUGGGGGGCAGUAACGUGCAUCCUAUUUAAGGGAGAAGAGCCAAUGAGAGAAGAGGAGGAGGGAAGAAGGUACGUCACUUGGAUUGCUUGUGAAAGGCUCCCAUCCUGUGUGUUAACUUCUAAGG